rnacentral:rRNA from 1 species
UUGAACGCUGGCGGCAGGCCUAACACAUGCAAGUCGAACGGUAACAGGAAGCAGCUUGCUGCUUUGCUGACGAGUGGCGGACGGGUGAGUAAUGUCUGGGAAACUGCCUGAUGGAGGGGGAUAACUACUGGAAACGGUAGCUAAUACCGCAUAACGUCGCAAGACCAAAGAGGGGGACCUUAGGGCCUCUUGCCAUCGGAUGUGCCCAGAUGGGAUUAGCUAGUAGGUGGGGUAACGGCUCACCUAGGCGACGAUCCCUAGCUGGUCUGAGAGGAUGACCAGCCACACUGGAACUGAGACACGGUCCAGACUCCUACGGGAGGCAGCAGUGGGGAAUAUUGCACAAUGGGCGCAAGCCUGAUGCAGCCAUGCCGCGUGUAUGAAGAAGGCCUUCGGGUUGUAAAGUACUUUCAGCGGGGAGGAAGGGAGUAAAGUUAAUACCUUUGCUCAUUGACGUUACCCGCAGAAGAAGCACCGGCUAACCCCGUG